GACGAACGCUGGCGGCGUGCUUAACACAUGCAAGUCGAACGGAAAGGCCCUGCUUUUGUGGGGUGCUCGAGUGGCGAACGGGUGAGUAACACGUGAGUAACCUGCCCUUGACUUUGGGAUAACUUCAGGAAACUGGGGCUAAUACCGGAUAGGAGCUCAUGCUGCAUGGUGGGGGUUGGAAAGUUUUGGCGGUUGGGGAUGGACUCGCGGCUUAUCAGCUUGUUGGUGGGGUAGUGGCUUACCAAGGCUUUGACGGGUAGCCGGCCGGAGAGGGUGACCGGCCACAUUGGGACUGAGAUACGGCCCAGACUCCUACGGGAGGCAGCAGUGGGGAAUAUUGCACAAUGGGCGGAAGCCUGAUGCAGCAACGCCGCGUGCGGGAUGACGGCCUUCGGGUUGUAAACCGCUUUCGCCUGUGACGAAGCGUGAGUGACGGUAAUGGGUAAAGAAGCACCGGCUAACUACGUG
rnacentral:rRNA from 1 species